AGGAGCACUAGGUCUGUGGGAAGACUGUUCUUACGAUACAAGGAUGUUUGCAAAAGGGACAUGAAGGCCUGCAACAUCAAUAUUAGCAACUGGGAAGCAGUUGCCAGCAACCGUAGAGAUUGGCGACAUACCGUAAAAGAGGGAAUGCAUAGGAGUG